rnacentral:rRNA from 1 species
GACGAACGUUGGCGGCGUGCUUAAUACAUGCAAGUCAACUGAAGCAGUGGUAGCAAUAUCGCUGUAGAGGUGGCGCACGGGUGAGUAACACGUAGGUAAUCUGCCUUCAGGUCUGGCAUAACUCCGGGAAACCGGGGCUAAUAGCAGAUGAUGCAGCGGCUCGACAUCGAGACAGUUGUUAAAGCUAUGGCGCCUGAAGAUGAGCCUGUGUCUGAUUAGCUAGUUGGCGGGGUAACGGCCCACCAAGGCAACGAUCAGUAGCUGGUCUGAGAGGAUGAUCAGCCACACUGGAACUGAGACACGGUCCAGACUCCUACGGGAGGCAGCAGUAAGGAAUAUUGCUCAAUGGGAGAAAUCCUGAAGCAGCAACGCCGCGUGAGGGACGAAGGGCUUUGGCUUGUAAACCUCUGUAGUGAGAGAAAAAAAUCCCAAUCUUUGGGACAUGAUGGUAUCUCAAAAGUAAGCCCCGGCUAACUACGUG